AUGUUUUUUGAUACACCUAGGACAUGGAUUUUAUAUGAACCAAUGGAUCGUGACAAGUCGUUACUACUAGCAAUGACUUCGUCUUUCAUUACUUCAUCCUUUCCAUAUCCCUCUCCCUUGUUCUCAGUUACUCAUCAAAUGGCACUCA